CGUUUUGUUUCAGAAAAAAAAAAAAGAAAAAAAAGCUUUAAGUCUCUCUCUCUCUCCCCUCUUUCAGCCCAGAUUCCGGCUUAAGGUCCGACCAACCGCCACCGUGCCGGACGCCGUUUUUCGGCGCCAGCGCCGCCAUAGGCGACGGUCAGAAGGUGAAAAGUCCCUUUUUUAACCCGUUUCGAAAACCGUUUGGAGAUCGGGCUUUCAUGGCCUUAAGGCCGAGGGAAGAGACCCCAAACAUCGCCUUCCUUGUCCAUUUUCGGCGAUCCGAAAGACUCCGGCGACGUCACAAACAAGGCUACUCCGGUGCAAAUAGGCAGAGGAGCGGCGAUGGGACGUGCGGCGGUGGCAGCAGGUCAAGUGGUCGACCCUAGGUGCGGCGCACCUAGGGUUAGGGUUACUGUUUUUUCUGAUUUGUGUUUUGGGUAAUGGGUUUUGCAUUUGGGCUUCGGGAUUGGGUUAGUCUAGUUAUGCUUGGGUAGGUUUGGGUGGGUAUUGGUAGUUGGGUUUGGGUUAAAAUGUAAUUGGGCUGUUAAUUUGGUUUUGUUUAGGGUCUAUUUAUGGUUUCGGGUUGGGGUGUUUUUGUUUUGUUUGUUGGGCUGUCGGGUCAAAAUGGGCCUGUACAAUGUUUAUUUUAUUUGUAUUUUUGUUUAAUUAACUUAUUCCAUAUUAAAAAUUUAAGAUAUUGGUAUAUUAAAUAA